CCCAUUCUGUAGGUUGUCUGUUUAUUCUGUUGAUAGUUUCUUUUUCUGUGCAGAAGCUUGUUAGUUUAAUUAGAUCCCAUUUGUCAAUUUUUGCUUUUGUUGCAAUUGCUUUUGGCAUCUUUGUUAUGAAAUCUUUGCCUGUGCCUAUGUCCUGAAUGAUAUUGCCUAGGUUGUUUUCCAGGGUUUUGUAGUUCUAGGUUUUACAUUUAAGUCUUUAAUCCAUCUUGAGUUAAUUUUUGUAUAUGGUAUAAUGAAGGGGUCCAAUUUCAAUAUUCUGCACAUAGUUAACCAGUUAUCCCAGCACCAUUUAUUGAAUCAGGAAUCCUUUCCCCAUGGCUUUUGUUAGGCUUGUCGAAGAUCAGAUAGUUGUAGGUAUGCAGUCUUAUUUCUGGGUUCUCUAUUGUCUGUUUUUGUACCAAUACCAUGCUGUUUUGAUUACUGUAGCCCUGUAGUAUAGUUUGAAGUCAGGUAGCAUGAUGCUUCCAGCUUUGCUCUUUUUGCUUGGUAUUGCCUUGGCUAUUCAGCUCUUUUUGGUUCCAUAUGAAUUUUAAAAUAGCUUUUUCUAGUUCUGUGAAGAAUAACAAUGGUAGUUUAAUGGAAUACCAUUGAAUCUAUAAAUUGCUUUGGGGAGUAUAGUCACUUUAACAAUAUUCAUUUUCCUAUCCAUGAUCAUGGAAUGUUUUUCCAUUUGUUUGUGUCAUCUCUGCAGCAGGACCUAUUCUAUCAAGGAUCGGUAAUUGGGAAUAAGCUUCUCAUUUCAUCCUAAAGGAUUCUGUCACUCCACUGAAAUCUUAAGAGUCUCCAGUGCUUGUUAGGAAAGUGUGGAAGAUGAACCCCUUCUUCAUCCACAGAUGCUGAGAAUGCUAAUUAGAAGACAGGUAUCAGGAAGCCCACACAGAGACGGUUUUGGGAUUUUGUCAGCACUGGGCAAGUGGCUUAAGAUCUGCCCUGCCGGUGUUUGACACCCGAGUCUGAAGCUGGCACCUCAUCCAUUCCCUAGUCCUGCCUUUUUGCUCCCCGGGCUCCCUUUCCAGUGCCACCAUCGCCCUCUUUGCACUUCCCUCGCACUCCAUCUCAGAAGCAGACUUCAAGGAGAUCAAAAGAGGCUGCUCCUCAAGGAAGAGCAGGGGUCCUGCGGCUAGAAAGCGGGGGGCAGUCUCUGUCCACACUCAAAAAUCAAAGAAUUAGCCCGACUUAAUCAAACAAAAUAUUACUAUGUUUUCCGAACAACUUAUUCAGCUCAGAGUCAAGCAACUGUGCCCAGAAUAAUGCUUCUGGAACAGAUGGAGAAGGCAUAUGAAGCCAUGCUGGGAAGUCAUGCUUCCAGAAAUGGUGUUCAUGUCAGCCGUGUUCUCCAACAGCAAGAACCAGAAGCGCCUACCACACCAUCCUCUGGGCCCCGCACAUGUGACCACCAGGACCUUUAACAUGUGGCUCUUCCUAAUAUGUAUUAGAAAUAUUACAUAUUUGUUAAUUUGGUGCCCACUUGUAGAGACCCCAUAUUUUUCACCUUAAGGCCAACAUGAACUAAGAGCUGAAGGAAGUGUUGUGGUGACCCAGCAACAGGAGUGAAGGUACAUUCUCUACUUUGGCAUGAUGCUUGUGUUGGAAAGGAUCCUGAG
rnacentral:lncRNA from 1 species